rnacentral:rRNA from 1 species
AUGAACGCUGGCGGCGUGCCUAAUACAUGCAAGUCGAGCGAACGGACGAGAAGCUUGCUUUUCUGAUGUUAGCGGCGGACGGGUGAGUAACACGUGGAUAACCUACCUAUAAGACUGGGAUAACUUCGGGAAACCGGAGCUAAUACCGGAUAAUAUUUUGAACCGCAUGGUUCAUAAGUGAAAGACGGUCUUGCUGUCACUUAUAGAUGGAUCCGCGCUGCAUUAGCUAGUUGGUAAGGUAACGGCUUACCAAGGCAACGAUGCAUAGCCGACCUGAGAGGGUGAUCGGCCACACUGGAACUGAGACACGGUCCAGACUCCUACGGGAGGCAGCAGUAGGGAAUCUUCCGCAAUGGGCGAAAGCCUGACGGAGCAACGCCGCGUGAGUGAUGAAGGUCUUCGGAUCAUAAAACUCUGUUAUUAGGGAAGAACAUAUGUGUAAGUAACUGUGCACAUCUUGACGGUACCUAAUCAGAAAGCCACGGCUAACUACGUG